UACGUAGGGUGCGAGCGUUAAUCGGAAUUACUGGGCGUAAAGCGAGCGCAGGCGGUUCUGUAAGUCAGAUGUGAAAUCCCCGGGCUCAACCUGGGAACUGCGUUUGAAACUACAGGGCUAGAGUAUGGGAGAGGGGGGUAGAAUUCCACGUGUAGCAGUGAAAUGCGUAGAGAUGUGGAGGAAUACCAAUGGCGAAGGCAGCCCCCUGGCCUAAUACUGACGCUCAUGCUCGAAAGCGUGGGGAGCAAACAGGAUUAGAAACCCGCGUAGUCC
rnacentral:rRNA from 1 species